rnacentral:rRNA from 1 species
UGCCAGCCGCCGCGGUAAUACGGGGGGUGCGAGCGUUAUCCGGAAUUACUGGGUUUAAAGGGUGCGUAGGUGGCUUGAUAAGUCUGGGGUGAAAGGCCAGGGCUCAACCUUGGGAUUGCCUUGGAUACUGUGGAGCUUGAAUUAGGAUGAGGUUGGCGGAAUGCGGCAUGUAGCGGUGAAAUGCUUAGAUAUGCCGUAGAACACCGAUUGCGAAGGCAGCUGACUGGACCUUGAUUGACGCUGAGGCACGAAAGCGUGGGGAGCGAACGGGAUUAGAUA